rnacentral:rRNA from 1 species
GACGAACGCUGGCGGCGUGCCUAAUACAUGCAAGUCGAACGCUGAAGAGCGUUGCUUGCUCUUCUUGGCUGAGUUGCGAACGGGUGAGUAACGCGUAGGUAACCUGCCUUGUAGCGGGGGAUAACUAUUGGAAACGAUAGCUAAUACCGCAUAACAAUCGGUGACACAUGUCAUUUAUUUGCAAGUUGCAAUUGCUCCACUACAAGAUGGACCUGCGUUGUAUUAGGUAGUAGGUGAGGUAACGGCUCACCUAGGCGACGGUCCAUAGCCGACCUGGGCGGGGGAGAAGCAACACUGGGACUGAGAAACGGCCCAGACGGCUACGGGAGGGAGCAGUAGGGAAAUGUGGGGAAUGGGGGGAAACCUGACCGAACAACGCCGCGGGAGUGAAGAAGGUUUGCGGGUCGGAAAGCUCUGUUGUAGGUCGAGAACGAGUGUGAGGGUGGAAAGUUCACAAGGUGACGGUAGCGUACCAGAAAGCAACGGCUAACUACGUG